AAAGUCGUAACAAGGUUUCCGUAGGUGAACCUGCGGAAGGAUCAUUAUUGAAAUAAACCUGAUGGGUUGUUGCUGGUUCUCUAGGGAGCAUGUGCACGCCUUGUCAUCUUUAUAUCUCCACCUGUGCACUUAUUGUAGGCCUUUUUAGGUCUAUGUUGCUUCACUUACCCCAAUGUAUGUCAAUAGAAUGUUGUGCCUAUAUAUAAUAUAUACAACUUUCAGCAACGGAUCUCUUGGCUCUC
rnacentral:misc_RNA from 1 species